CAGCAGCCGCGGGAAUACGUAGGGUGCAAGCGUUAAUCGGAAUUACUGGGCGUAAAGCGUGCGCAGGCGGUUAUAUAAGUCAGAUGUGAAAUCCCCGGGCUCAACCUGGGAACUGCAUUUGAGACUGUAUGGCUAGAGUGUGUCAGAGGGGGGUAGAAUUCCACGUGUAGCAGUGAAAUGCGUAGAUAUGUGGAGGAAUACCGAUGGCGAAGGCAGCCCCCUGGGAUAACACUGACGCUCAUGCACGAAAGCGUGGGGAGCAAACAGGAUUAGAUACCCCCGUAGUCCCUGUCUCUUAUAC
rnacentral:rRNA from 1 species